rnacentral:lncRNA from 1 species
UGGAGGACUAAAAAACAAUUCAUGCUUCAUGCUAAUCGGAUCAAACACAAACACCUUCCUAUUCAAUGUCUGAUCAGGACUGAACAAGUAUGCUAUCAAACUACCAUCAAGGCUAAAGCUAAUUAAAGUUGGCACUCCAUAACCAGGUAAAGGGUGUUGCACUAUCUCUUCAACAGGGAAUACAGUGCAAUUGUCUAGAGCAUUUGCAGGAGUUGUGUCAGCUGCAGGCAUAUCGUGGCGAAGUGAUCUCGAACGUUUCAAAUUCUUCUUCUUAUUACUUGUAUUAGGGGAUUGCAUUACCAAUUUAUUGACUAAAAAUUUAAUAGUUUGUGCAUCAGUGCAAGCAUACCCGACACCCUGAAAGGACAGGAAAUAACAAAUCAAUCGAGCAAAUUAUAAAAUUUUAAACCAACUAAAAAUUAAGGAAAAAAAUUUACUAUUGAAUUGCUCCCCUCAAUAAAUUUGUUUUUCCAAUAAAAGUUAAAAUUGAAUUCGUGCAAUAAGAAGAAAUUUGAUAAAUUCUAAAUGCAAAACAAAAAAUAGGCAUUAUUAAAUUAAGCACUCUAUUAAUCAAAUAAUGGGCCACAGAAAAAAAAUGUUGAAGCGGUGAACCGUCAGAAUUAAAAAGUGCAAGAGAUAAGAAAGUUCAUUUCGACUUAAUCAUGCUCAGUUUUACAAUUUUGAUUGAAGUGAAGCUACUUUCUUGAGCUUCUUUUUUCCUUUCUAUUCCUACUUUCCGCAAUAGAAAAGGCGUAAAAGAAACAAACUUUCUCUUUUUAUUUCUGCAGAAAAUAAACAGUAGCAGCCAAGAAAGUGAAAAAGGAUUCAAGAAUUAUUCAGUAAGAAAUCCCUUGGAAAUUGAAAAUAAACGCGAACUUGAUUUAAUAAAUACUCAUUAAUUAAUUAACUAUGGAAUAACGGUCGUGAUAAUAAAGUAAAUUAGGAUCGGAAUCGGACCUGUAAUUGGUAAACGAAAAACCAAUGCAGAAGAUCAAGAUUCGGAUACAAUUCCUUUCCAAUUGAAAUUUUCUCAAAGUUUCAGGAAAAUUGAAAAUUUGAAUCAGAUUAUCAAAGAAUCGAUUCCAGAAUUUGGAGUAUAACGAAAUAUUUGAGCAUAAAAGUGAAUAAAAAGUGGAAAAAAGAGAGGCUUUUUUCCUUAGCGGAGUGAAAGUGAGAAAAAGAACUUGUGUUGUAGAAAGUGAGCGCGUGGGGUUAAAGUCUGAUUCAGAUAAGUGGGCACCACACCAACCAGAUUAAGCAAGUGCUGGAUGGGCUGGUUGGGCUUCAUUAAUUUUAAACCCAGGAAUUUAGUCAAUGUUUUGAUCAUAUUUAGCUUAAAUUUCUCAUUAUGAAUCAAUUAUUGAUAUGUAAUUAUUGUUGUUGCUCCAUGAAGAGUGGACAUCACUGAGCCCAUCGGCUAAGGGUGAAAUGUUGAAUAAGUUAUAACUUUCAAGUCCAAUAUAACGAAUAUGAUAAAGGAAUGAGUCAGUUAACAAUUAGAGCUUUCACAAGUCAAGCAAAAGUCAAAUAAAUUAGACUAUAAAACCAAUAUACGCGUGAGACUUGAUUAUGGAUACAAGACGUGCGUGCUUACAAGUUGAACAAAUUGCUCGAACAUCACAGACUAAACACAACAUGGCCAUUGCGAUUAUCAAAAAGAAAGAUGGUAAAACAUUAGGUAAUAUAGAACACCUACUAUUAUCAUAACGGUGAAAACACAUCAAAUUAUGUUCAUAUGGAGUGUUCACGGUCUCUAAAGAAGGUAGCAUGAAUAUUAGGACAAUAAGGUUAGUUCUAUUUGUUAUAAAAGGGAACUUGAAGACAAUGCAAUGGUGACCCUAACAAUAGGCUUAGUAGACAAUCGCGCUAAGACCUCACUUUUAUGAAGCUCUAAAAAGUUACAUAUAGUUCAUAAAAAUUACAAACAAAAUAAAGUCUAAAUGCAAUCAACUAUCCAAUUAACAAAUAUACUAAUUUUUAAUUAAAAUAUAAACAUUUCAAUCUUUAUUUGUACAAGUAUUUAAAGCUUAAUUAUGUAGAACACUUGGUAGGAAGAUGCAAUGAUCUUAAGUCAUUUAGAGAUAUUAAAGUUUUAUCUUUUUUGAAAUUAUAAAUUUUGAGUUUUUGUUUGACAUGAUUAUAUGGUACAAUAUAUAUUAAUUAUUAAUAGAGUAAGUGAAAAUUUGUAAAGUGGGGAUACGUCUAUUGGUGUUGUUGAAAUGAAUUAUUUUAUUUUUUGAAAUAUAUCGAGAAACUGAAUUUGCAUCCGAUAAAUUCAUAUAAAGAAGCACUUCGAUGAAAAUUUCAAUGAUGAGAUAACACAUUCACUUGAAGAAUUUUAGAGUUUGUGAUUUCUUAUAUAUGUUGAUCAAGCUCUUUCUUCACUCAAGGUUCGAACAAUUUCAAAAAGUAUGAAAAUAUGUUUGAAUUUUUAUUUGACUCUAAAAAGAUUAAAGACUGAAAAAUGUGACAAGUCUGAAGAAUUUUGGAAGUAGAAUAGAAAUUCUGAUAUUAUAGACGAGAGUUAUUUUUUGAGCAGUAAACUUAAGAAAUUGUUUGUUAGAAGCUAUCAAAAAGACGAAUGAAGUGCUUGAUAUAUUAAAAUUAUGGACUGUUAUUUUUUAAAUGUGUGAAUUGUUUAUAGAAUAUUAUUGACUAUAUUCUUUACAAUUGCAUUUGUCAAGAAUAGCUUCUAGAAGUGAAGUUGAUAAAAUUCUAGAUUUGGUUAACGAUGUCAUAAGAAAUGUUGAAUGGAUUGGUCAUGUUGUCUAUUUUAAAAAGGUUCUAAAAUAGUUCAAUUGUAAUGGUAUAAUUGUUGAUUUUCUAUUAUGAAAAUUUGGAUAUUUGAAAGUUUUAUAUUAUUAUUUUUAUAAUUUUGAAUAUUUUUAUUCAAUAAAAAAUAUUAUUUAUUACUAUUAUAUAUAUUUUUAAAAUAUUUAUAGAUCCCAUAUUUGAAGUUGGCAUAAGAUCCCAAAAGUCUGAGGAUCAGUCCUACGAUAAAGAUGUAUUUUUAAAGUGAAAAGAUGGUAUACAGUUUCAUCACGAACAAAGGCUUGUCAACGUCCAAAUUGCCUAAAAAGACCAUGAUUUGUUAGUCUACUUGUUUGCUCCAAGUUUUAGAAUGACUAAACAUGCAUGUGAAUUGGAUUGAGGUUGGAGUACAUUAUGGUGGUCAUGACUGGAAAGAGAAGAUGAACCUAGAAGGACUUAGAUGCAGGAUGUAACUCAAGGAGUAGCGAGAUGAAACGUCAUAUGAAGAAAACUAAAAGGUUGUAAUGACAUUAUUUUUUUUGCAAAAAGAAGAGAAGACGAUGGGAAGGAUUUUUUUUUCUCAUUUAACAUUUUUUAUAUUAUUUUAUCUCUUAUUUUAGGAGUGGAUGUAUGGUGUUCAAUCUCACAAUCUGGUUAUUUCAAGAACCAGGACUACUCAUCAAACUUUUGGUAUAUUGCAAAUUGAACCAUUCGGUUCCAUGUAAUUUUUGGAACCGAUUAGAAACAAGUAGUUCGAUUAAAAAUGACCUCCCCUGAUGAGCCUCGGGUGGUUUCUCUAGGCAUUUCAAGAAUCCAAACCAUUUAAUUUUCAUGUAGAUUUUGAAAUCAAUCUCAAUAAAUGCUCACCCCUGCUUAUUUGUUAGCUAUUUCUAUAUUUCAUUUUAUUUGGUUUCCAAUGCUCCUAAAAACUACUUUAAAACAAAGAAAUUGAAAUUUUUAAUGGCACUUAUUUAUGACCACUAUAAAAAAAGGUCUAACCCGUCACAAAAUUUAAAGUUGAGGACCUAUGUAUGAAAAAAUUAAAAUGAGAUCCUAAAUUGACAUUCAAUAAUAGUUGGGGUCAAAAGUGCAAUUAUCCCAAUGGAUAAGUGGAUAAGAAGAAGAAAGUCCAGUGACCACCAAACGCUGGGAGCGAAGCGUGGAUUACAUGUCAAUGUCUACUAAAUGAUCAGUGGAGUGCUUUAAAUUUAUAGAAAUAAGAAUGUAAAAAAAUUACAGCAUUUUAUUGUCAUUAUUUUUUCAUGAAAAAUAUAUUUUUAUCCAAAAUACUACUUUUGUGCUGUUUGAAUAUUUUUCUACUUUUAAUUAUAUGACUAUAUUUUUCUCAAAAUCAAGAUAAAUAUUUUCUUUAUAGGGGGUAGGAUUCUAUUUUCCAGGAAAUUCACUCUUCCUCAUCUAUUCAUAAUCUCUCAUCUACCUAACAAUAAAAAUCGAACAAGUAUGAUAUUUUUCAAAUUAAAAAUUAAAUCAAUCAAAUGCAUUUAAUUAAUAAUUUCCAUGUAAAUAAGUUUUAGACAAUUGAAUUACCUAAAAUUUAUUUUCUUUCCUUACAAAUUUGAUUCUUUCAAUUGCAAAAAUGAUAUUUGGGUGGAACAAAAAAAAAAGAAUUUCAAGGAAUUGAAUUGUCUAGAAAAUAUUUUCUUGGGAAUUGUAAAUUAUUGUGUUUGAUUAUUAUAAUUUUUCACGUGAAAAGUAUUGAAAAAAAAGUGUUUUUCUGUUCGUUUGACUAGGAUUUUAUCAACAAAACUAACCUUCCAUACUAAUAUGCCUUUACUUCUCAAGUAUUGAGCUCUCAUGUCAACAGUGUUUAUCCAAGAAUCACAGACAAGUUGUACGCUGGGACCACCAUACACUUGAAUCAUUGUUUUAUAAGGUGGAGGUCCAAAUCUUGCCAGAUCAGGUUUGUAUAGUGCCCCAUAAAGAAUGGUCCCGUCCUUUGCCUCUACUUGAAUGACAUCUGGUGGCUGAAGUUGGAGCUUCUUAAAUCUUGGAAUGCUGAGCGGCUGCUCAAAAAGAGGCAUAAUCAAGCUUCCAUCAGACAAUGAGUGCAUAGUAACUUUGGGCGGUGAACCCAAGGAAUCAUAAAUAUCCACAAAUCUCUGCAUCUGAUGGUCAAGUACAACCACAUGUUUUCCCUUUCCAUGGGUCAAUCUAAAGGGAACCUGCAAGAGAUUACCUGCAUCUGAGUAUAAAUUGGCACGAUAAAGAUGACAUUCCAAAGGGCCGUCUAAAGUUCCAGUGAAAUAAACAAAGCCAGCAGCCUCGUUGACACCCACAACUUGCUCAACCAUCCAGUCACCUUGAGUUAUAGGACCCAAGCACUGUCCAUUUGAGUUGUGUAAAUAUAGAUGUCUGAAUCCUGUUUUCUCACUAGACCAAAUAAACCCUCCAGGAGAUCUAGUAUUCACUUUGUCUAAAGGGGUGAAGCAAUCAUGUAGAUUUAUCCAAGUUUCUUGUUCUUCUUCCAAGAUUACUUUUCUCUGGCCUGAUUUGAUAUCAAACUUUAGGAUCUCUAGUUUAGAAUGUGACCUGUUCAAAACCUGAGCAGUAAGAAUAUUCCCAUGCAUCCAACAGACUCUUGCCAAGUAUUCCUCAUUGUUUGCCUGGCCUCUUUCUCCACACAGAAGAUCCAUCCAAGUCACCGGACCUCCUGUAGCUGAAACAACACCCAAUCGAACUUUAACAUUUGGACCACCCACAAAAGGGUAAGAAUGAUCUUCCUGUGCCUCUGAACCAACAAAACUUUUCCCUUGGUGCAUGAUCCUAAAAGGAGGUAUCUCAGAAUAAUUCACCUCUGUAAAUGCAAUAAAUUUGCUGUCUAGAGACCACCAGUAGCCGUUUUUACGUUCCAUCUCCUCCUACAACCAGUAAACUUAAGUAUUCUCCAGCUAGAAAAUUUAUUAAGUUUAUUUUAUUGAGGAAAAGAAGUGGUUGUUUCAUAAAACAUUACAUGAAUGCAUAAAUUUGUAAUGAAAGAGAGUUUGAACUAUAACCUCACCUGGGCUAUGUACUCAGAGAGGCCAUGUGUCUGAAAAAAGAAAAAGAAAGAAAAAGUAUAAUCAGGUUUCCAAUCAAAAAAUAAAUGCACCGGCAUUCCAAUGUUCAAAAGUUUUCAGUCAAACAUGAAAAAAAUCCACAGAGGCAGGUACGAUCAUUUAAUAAAUUAAGUUAGGCGUGUUUCUAAGAUCAACAGAGACAGAGAUGUUCGUGCAAUUUAUGGGUAAACUGAAGUAUUGCUUUUCCUUUUAAGAUCCUAUUCUAGCAGCAUAUGCUCCCCUCUUGCACUUAUCCUUUUCCUCACCCUGCACUUCUUCAAUUCUACACAUUUUCUCUUAUUUGUCUUUUAUAACUGGUAAACGCUCCAUGAACGAUAUUUCUCCGAAGUUAAACAUAAUUCAUUUCAAAUCCCAGAUCAGGGUUCGUUUUCCAAAUUCAGAGGUAGUAUCAGUCGAUUCAAAGUUGAAACAUAAAAAUUUUAUAUGUUUUCUUUAUGAUAUUAAACAAAAUCACGUGAAGAAAUGGGAAAUCUGGAAUUAUAUAAAUCAAAUCAUCUCUCUUUGAGAAUCGGAUGUGUUCAGAGUUGUAAAGUUCAUCCAGAGACCUGUGUUCCAUUUAAAGUCGCAAAGAUGAAAAGAAAUGUAUCUCUGCGCUUUUAUUGAAAGAAGAAGGCCAACAUGCAGAUUCCGUUAUAGCAAAUAAGUAGCCUACACUAUAAAUCUUCAUAAUUUUUCAAACAUGAAAUAGACCAGCAUUUGAGACUAUAUAUCAAAUCAAAAGAUGACAUAUUUUUUUUAAAUUUUUUAUUUUUUGUGCUUCUGAGUGGACUGACAUGAAAAUAUUUGAACAUUAAGUAGAGAUUAUAGAACAGAUCUAUUGGAAAAGAAAAUAUAAAACGCAAUAAAUGAAUUACAAUAUGCAAAUUACACAACAGUAGCUUAUCUAACACACAAUGAACGGUAUGGAAAAUUGAAGCCAGUAAAGAAAUGGAACCUAAUGCUUACUAUCACGUUUCUAUUGGCACCAGAUGUCAACUGCUUUGACACGUUGUACAUAAGGUUUAACACGUGCAGCUCAUUAUCUCUCACAUAAGAAAGCAUGGUGCCAUCUGGGGAGACAUGUGGAUCAAUAAUUGGUGAGCAUGAGGCACUUGGGAGCUUAAGAUCUGACUCUAUGAAGAGAUCCUGAACAUAAAUCUGCCCACAUGCGAAACCAGCAAUAUGUUAUAUGAGAACAAAUAAAACAUAUUAGGUGUAUUUUAUCAAGCGACAUAAUUGAUAUACAAAACAUAUAAAGAUGUUCAAGCAAACAAAAAACUUAAAAUAAAGAAUUAUGGUACAUUGAUUUCUGUUAAAAAUGCUGAGAGAAUCUUUUCUCUAGUUUACAGCAAAAAAACUAGCUGAUGCUCAACCAUAAGAUAAGUGUUCAAGGUUUGCACCACAAAAGGUAGAGGUCUUUAAAUUGGGACUAUUCACUUCCAUGUAGAGUUUUUAAUUGAUGCUUCAACACAUCCACAAAAUUAGGGAUCAAGUGAAUGUAUACCCAUGAAUGAAUAUUACAAGGCUUCUCAUGGUGUAACGCCUAGUCAUGGCUCUUUGGAGAGCAAAUGGUCACAAGAAUCAAUUGAAUUUUACACGAAUUGGUUGAGCAUUUCUCCCUACAAGCAUAAUCAUUGGGACUUAGUUUCUACAGGAAAUUUCCCAGGAAAAGAUUAUCAAUGCAUGAGAAAUUAUUCACUGACCCUAAAAUAUUACAAAGAAGUUAAAAAAUAUAUUAAAAGAAAAGCUAGUAUGAAUAUAUUUCCAGGCAAUUACAAUAACGUUGGCAAGAUUAGUUCUUUUAAUAACAUAAUCAAAACCGUAUCCAAAUUAUGCCCAAAACACAAACUCAAUCAGUAUGCAAUUAAUCUUGCUCCAAUUUACCAAUACCAUCACCAACUCUCUCAAGGUGACAUGUGACCAUUCGGCAAUAUAACAAAAACACCAUUCAAGAUAUUUAUCCAAUAAUAAGUUUGUUUACAUGUAUAACACGUGCAAUUAAUUUGAGCAAGUACACAAGUAUAUUAUAUUUUUGAAAUUGUCAAAUAAUGUAAGAUGUUAAGGAACGCACUCCUGCUGGUAGAGGCACCAUAAUUCUCUUUUUCCUUGGGCUUGUCUUCACCCAUUCGUAGCGUGUCACACCAAGCCCCCGCUCCCUUGAUCUCUCCCUCCUCAACUUUUCUUCAGCAGACAAAUUAUUCUCAUCAAGCCCACCAUUUGGAGGACUAAAAAACAAUUCAUGCUUCAUGCUAAUCGGAUCAAACACAAACACCUUCCUAUUCAAUGUCUGAUCAGGACUGAACAAGUAUGCUAUCAAACUACCAUCAAGGCUAAAGCUAAUUAAAGUUGGCACUCCAUAACCAGGUAAAGGGUGUUGCACUAUCUCUUCAACAGGGAAUACAGUGCAAUUGUCUAGAGCAUUUGCAGGAGUUGUGUCAGCUGCAGGCAUAUCGUGGCGAAGUGAUCUCGAACGUUUCAAAUUCUUCUUCUUAUUACUUGUAUUAGGGGAUUGC